rnacentral:rRNA from 1 species
AGAGUUUUGAUCCUGGCUCAGGAUAAACGCUAUCUGUGUGCUUAAUACAUGCAUGUUGAACGGAAUAUGUUAGCUUGCUAAUAUAUUUAGUAGCAAAUGGGUGAGUAACACGUACCUAACCUACCUUUUGGACCGGGAUAACUAUUGGAAACAGCAGCUAAUACCGGAUAAAAUAAAAAAAUGCAUGUUUUUUUAUUAAAAGGAGCCUUUAAAGCUCCACCAAAAAAUGGGGGUGCGCAACAUUAGUUAGUUGGUAGGGUAAAGGCCUACCAAGACGAUGAUGUUUAGCGGGGCCAAGAGGCUGUACCGCCACACUGGGAUUGAGAUACGGCCCAGACUCCUACGGGAGGCAGCAGUAAGGAAUAUUCCACAAUGAGCGAAAGCUUGAUGGAGCGACACAGAGUGCAGGAUGAAGUCUUUAGGGAUGUAAACCGCUGUUGUAAGGGAAGAAAAAACUAGAUAGGAAAUGAUUUAGUCUUGACGGUACCUUAUUAGAAAGUGACGGCAAACUAUGUGCCAGCAGCCGCGGUAAUACAUAGGUCGCAAGCGUUAUCCGGAAUUAUUGGGCGUAAAGCGUCCGCAGGUUUUUUGUUAAGUUUAAGGUUAAAUGCUAAAGCUCAACUUUAGUUCGCUUUAGAUACUGACAAAAUAGAAUUAUGAAGAGGUUAGCGGAAUUCCUAGUGGAGCGGUGGAAUGCGUAGAUAUUAGGAAGAACACCAAUAGGCGAAGGCAGCUAACUGGUCAUAUAUUGACACUAAUGGACGAAAGCGUGGGGAGCAAACAGGAUUAGAUACCCUGGUAGUCCACGCCGUAAACGAUGAUCAUUAGUUGGUGGCAAAAGUCACUAGCACAGCUAACGCGUUAAAUGAUCCGCCUGAGUAGUAUGCUCGCAAGAGUGAAACUCAAAGGAAUUGACGG